UAUUCAUCACAGAUUGAUUUUGAGCGGCAAUUUGUUUUCUCUUCUUUUUCAUUUACAAGCGGCUUCUCAAACACGCAUUAUUCAAAAACCUUAAUUAUCAUCUUCUUCAAUUCUCUGGCGAUUUCAUACUUCUUCAAUUGUCUCAAACACAAAAACUCUAAUCCAGUUUUCAUCUUCUUUCCUAUUUGAAACCCUAACGGAGAUGCCCCCGAUCCAGCCGAUCGAUCUUCAUCUGAUAAGUUUUUGACGGAUCGGGUUUUUCAAUUCCCCGCAAGUAGAGAAAAAGAUCAAGGGCACCAAAAGUGACUAAAAAUCCCAUAAUCUCAUUGCCAUUUGCUAAUUUGGGGGAUAAAUUAGCACACAUACGAGCUUCAACAUCAUGAUCAUCAAUCCAGUUGUCACAAGAGACUGGUUCUAUAUGUGUGUGUAAAAGACAUAAUCACAUGCAUGAAGAAUUAAAAUUACCCUCUACCACCUGAGUGUAUGACUGGACGCCUUUUUAGCAAUGGCGAUGUCGAAAGGAUCAUCAAAAGUGUCAUUAACUACACCGGUUUUGAUGUUAGCAGGAGGAGAAGAGGGUUUGCUUCUGGUUGGAGUCAUUUGUGAAUUGAAAAAACGAGAGUGAUCUGAUCUGAUCUGAUAUGGAAGGAAUCAGAGGACAGACACCGUGUUAGUGGUCUCCUUUUUUGUUACCUAAUGUUGGUAAUCUACUCACCACACUCCAUCCUACAAAACGCUUCCAGGAAAAACCUGCAACAAUUGGAAAUCUUGAAAAAAAAGUCUAAAAGAAACAAGUGAAGCAGGUAACAUAAUACGGGACCAACUGAAAGAGGUGAGUGUUGCAGAUACGAGGGACCAACUGAAAGAGGUGCGUGCUACAACAGAUAUGGAGUUGUUAAAGAAUCCAAAUUCGUAGGUGGAUGAAGCUAAAAAAAGAUAUGGACAUAUGGAGGAAGAGAGACCUCUUAGAGGUGUGGUAUGAAGAGAAACCACGACCAUCAGAUGUACGUUAUGACCUGUGAUAUGAAGAAAUGCAAACUCAUGUAUUAACUACUCUUUGACUUUAGAUGUGGGAUUUUGACUUGUUUAUUAAAAAAACAUGUUGAAUGAAGUUAUGUUUCAUCUCUUAACUGGUCAAAUAGAAAAUACCUAAAAAGGAGACAGGUUGAAUAGGUUGAGCAGGUCGCAACUCACCUAAAAGUAUAACACUUUGUAUUUUCUUUUGAGCUCAUGUUACAUAUUUUACUUUUGAUUUUGGUUACAAUCUGUUGCUGAAAUUUAUGUUGACCAAAUUCAUAUUUAGAGCUACUCUAACCACACACAUCACGUGCAUGUACGCUUGGCAUACAUUCAUAUGCUUUCGCAAGAUAGAAGUGUUGGCAUGUUGUCAUUGGAAAGGGCAUGUGUGCCUUGAUGUGGCAAGUUUGCGAUUACUCUACGCUAUCGUUCGUUUGAGUUUUUUUUUUUUUUUGUGUAAGUCUGUUGAUUGAUGUAAUAUUAUGUAUGGUGUUUAAUUAAUGUGAAGAAGAGAAAUCGAGAGAAGAGAGAGUGUAGCGGAGGUUGGAAGAAGCCAGACUAAAGAGCCACCAAGGGCUUUGAUAGUUGUUCUUCUUUCAUAAAUUUUAACUAAGGGCUUUGAUUUCAGUUUGUUUCUUCGGUCACGGAUUGCAACUCUAUGAAGAGAAAUUGCAGGAGAAGAACGAUUUGAGUGUGGUUUGGUGAGGGAACAACCAUGGUGGGAGACAAGCCGCCACAGACAGUCACAACGACCAUCAUGGGAGCGAGAAUAACAAGAAUGGGUUCAAUAUCAUCCUCGCCAAUAUGAACGAGGUUGCAAUACUGGAAUAUAUACAUCUGUUAGUUGAAACUAUGGACCGUCAUUUUGGCAGUGUGGUCAAAUAAAAAAAUCAACUAAAAGGAAAAACAGGUCAAAUGGGUUGACAUGUAACAUAUUAGCGGAACCACCACUUUUCUUUUCAUUCUAUUGGAUGUUUUGUUUGAGACCUGCUGAAGUAGAAAGGCCUAAAGUCGUUUUGGACAUCUUCAUGGGACCCUCAAAAACCAAUGUCCUCUGGUGGAGAAACCGAUCAAGACAAGCUUGAAGCCACAAAGAGGAAGCUUCAAGAACUUUUGUCCACGACAGGUAACUCCGACUUAAGGUUACCGAUUACAAAAUCCUGCUCAUAAACAGUGAUGCGGUGACAAUAUCUGGUGGAAAUGCACAUUUAUCCAUGGAUCAGGAGCGGGUGCUGUUGUCGGUGCUGUUAGAAGGGUUGCUGGAGCUGAUUUUAGGAAUGGUUCUUAAACAAAGCUUGCAUCAUUCAAAACCCAAAAGACUUAACAUCAUUUGGGAUUGCUUUAGACCCAUGGGGUUUUUGCACACUCGAACAAGUUGAAGAACAUAAAGCACUAAUUAGAGUUAUAGCAUUAUGGUCUAAUGAUGUCUAUAAACGUUAGUCAAUCUUCGUUUCCAGUAAACCAAGCAAGCACCAUGGAUAGACACAUGGGAUGAAGCUUCCAAAUUCCAGUCGGAUCCUUCGCAUUUUUCACAAUUGCGGUUUUUGCCCUUUUAGUAGCAAAGCUGAGAGGAGUCAUUCAUUCCUCAUGGUGAUCAAAAGAGAGACAAGGAAUUUUUUUUGUUAGAGGCCUUUGCUUCUCCGAGUGUGUACAAAAAUUGAAGCUCUGCACACCAGCUACAAAGACCCUAAACAGGGGUAUAUCCGAAUUUGUAGUGAUUGCUGUAGAUGCUUAACCUCUUGAAAUUCUUCUCUAUCUUCCCCUCCUUGCUGAAGAUAAGGUAUGCUCUUACCUGGGUGGGUCAGGUUGGUAAUGUAAUGGGUUCAGGUCCAGAAGUAUGUUGGAAGGGCAAAUUGCCAAGGAAGUCGACUUAAAAUACCAAAUUUGCCAAUGUAGGCUAUAUAGAUCUUUUCCUCUUAAAAGGAUUCAAAGAUCCGGUUUGUAACACCAAGGGAAACAUUAAUCAGGGUACAAACAAUGAGGGCCAAGUCAGCAGGUUACUUCCUCUGUGAUAGUGUUCAUCUUGGCGUCAUGUCAUCCUCUUUGCCUACAUAACAGUCCAUGAACUUAUGUAGCUUUUUUUCCAGAAAUUGUGAAAAUCAUUUGAAAAGGCUUCAUCUUUUAGAAGUCUUAUUAAUCAUAUGAUUCCAUAUCCCUGUCAUCUUUUUUAAACACCAACAUAUUAUAUUUCGUAAUGUGUUCCCUUAAUUGUUACAUAUGAGAUCUUUUAAUCCUUUGAAUUGAAAAAGUAUUUAAAUAAUCCCACAUAUUUGGUAAUUUUUUUAACUUUUUCUUGGUUUGCCCUUAAAAUAACAAAUAAUACAAUGGUAAAUUCAUUUUUGAAACAAAUGGUUACUAAUAGUUUCUUUUAUUAAACUUUUAUAUGUCUACAUUCUACCUCUUUAUGUGAAUGUAAUGUAUAUUUGUGUUAUUAAAAAUACAGAUUUUAUUGAAUGAAGUUGCCCCUAGACCUCAUAACAAUGGGCACCACACUAUUGAGUCGUGUUAUACUUCACAAUAUGAGCAGCAUUUACGGGCCAUAGUUGGGCUUCCUGCGUCGAAUCUCUUCUUUCUUUUCUUAUAUUCGAUUGCUUUCUUUUGCAUUUAAUUACAUAGAGAAUUGCAACAAGCCUGAAUAUAUCUGUGUUCAUCUUAAAGCAGUAUGGUGGUUUGAGGCAAUGUGAAACUUUUUAGGUAUAAUAAAGUAGUAUGGUGGUUUGAGAAGACUUUAGCUCACAUACCACCAUUGUUAAGUGAGACGUGGGAAUCAACUAUGGUUAAUCUUGCUCAUGCUUUAAGAAAGUUAAGUAUGUCUACUUUCUUCCUCUAAACACAAUGUUUAAUGGUUAUUGACUAUUUAACACUUUCAUGCUACCUUUUGUAUUACUCUGCAUUAGGGGGUACGAUGAAGCAAUCACAAAUUAUGAAAAGGCCCUUGAGCUUUAAGAAAGUUGCACUAAUCAAAUUUAAAAUGCAAAUCAGGAGUAAAAGCACCUCAAAUUAGAUUGUCUAGAGAAUAUAGACCCUGUACACACUUCAAUAAUUAAGUCGGUAUAUCAUAUAAUAUCAUAUGUUUUCAGGUUAUUUUUUUGAACCUCUAUUUUUCCUUUGUUUUCAGGUUGUCUUGCAUUUAUACGGUGGAAAUAAAAGCCACAUGAGCCAGUAGGAGAGUUUUUCAGCUUCUUGAUUGUGUUUUUUUUUAAUGCUAGAAGCAUAAAAGAAAUGUCCUUUGGGGUUAGUUUUGUAAUUUAUGAUGUCAUUAGUCUUAUACUCAAAAGGAAGAGUAGGCUAUUUAAGCUACUUUUCUUAUAAUAUUUAUUAGAAGGUAACACUUACAAUAAAAAUUAAGGGAAGAAUGAGGGCAUUAUUAUCAUGUAUAUUUUUGACUCAUGAACUUUUCAAAUCAUCAUAGUUUAUUCAAGCACAAUUUUGAUUGUUAAAA